ACAAAUAUGGAAGAUUUGGGGGCAUAUAGACAAAUAACGCUUCUUGAAAAAGACGACAACUCAUCAGUUAAAAAUUCUCAGGCCGCUAUUCUAAAUUCAAAACACUGUCAUUCUCAGCGACGGGAUGAAGCUGGGAUAGAUUGGCAGCCAGCUUUAGGUUUCCCACUUGCUGAAUACUUCAAAGAAAGCAAUGACGAUGGGGACACUGCUGGCUGCUGCGAAUAGAGGAAGGAUUUUAGCCCAGUUUUGGAUCCUUUUUCGAAAAGUUCAUGUAGCUGGCCCAAACAGGUUGGCAGUGCUUUUGUGGUUGUUUCUGUGCUGUUGCGAUUGCUCUCCUGUUCUUGCUCUGUGUGUCUAGAUAUAUGUAUGUGUAUAGAAAAGUUCAUGUACCUCACCCAAACAGGUUGUGGCGGUGCCUUAACAGAUGUUUCUGUUUCUGUUGCUGCUGUUGUUGCCUUUCUGUUCUUGCUGUGCGUGUAUAUAGAUAUAAUGAUAUAUGUAGAUAUAUGUACUAAUGGAUGUAUGUAUGUAUGUGUAUGU